rnacentral:rRNA from 1 species
UACAGAGGGUGCGAGCGUUAAUCGGAUUUACUGGGCGUAAAGCGCGCGUAGGCGGGUUGGCAAGUCCGCUGUGAAAGCCCGGGGCUCAACCCCGGAGGGUCGGUGGAUACUGCCAGUCUUGAAGCAGCUAGGGGAAGAUGGAAUUACCGGUGUAGCGGUGAAAUGCGUAGAUAUCGGUAGGAACACCAGUGGCGAAGGCGGUCUUCUGGGGUUGUCUUGACGCUGAGGCGCGAAAGCUGGGGGAGCGAACGGG